CGCUUGUCGGGAAGGUACAAAUGUUUGGGAAGCUGCGCCGCUUCCUGUCAGCGAGCCCCGUGCUGUACGGACUGGAGGAAAAGUCCCAAAAACCCACCGGCCCCGAGGACAGCCGCUCGAUAAUGAUUGCACCACUGCAGAAUCUGUCCGUCUGAACGCGUCUUCGCCAUUGAAUAUCUGGGUGCCACUGUGUGCUGCCACUCAUCAGCAUGCCAUCAUGCAUCGUGCGUGGCUGCACCUACUCCUGGUACAAGAAGGAUCCCAACAUAACGUUACAUAGUUUUCCAAGAGACCUAGACACAAUCAAGACCUGGCUUUUACAAACCAAGCAAGAUUUUGGAAACCUAGAUGAGUUUUCCCAACGUGUCCUGGAGGGAACCAAAACCGGCAUGUAUCGCAUAUGUUCUCAGCAUUUCACUGCUGACUCCUAUGAGCGAUGUGGACUUAUAACAUAUGUGAAAAAGGGAGCCGUUCCCACUAUAUUUCCUGCCCAUACACCUGGCAUGAACACCUCACAAAAUAAACCUGUAGCCCCCAAAAAGAGGAAAGCUCCGACCGUGUCAUUACCUAGGGCAGCAGGGGCAGAUGUAGGCGUUCUCCAGCCCAUCAUUGGUAAAGAUGGAAACUACGCCACUGCCAGUCCUUUCGUCUCAGGCAUUCAUUUCAGGACCGUGUCAUUGCCAGUGACAAAGAAAAAGGAUUCUGGUUUAUCUAAAAGAGAUGUCGGGACUUGUACAGACUAUUUCCCUGGUCAGGUUCACAAGCAGACUAACACAGAACCUUUCUGUGGGACACAGAAUAAAGAGGUUCAGUGCUGUUCACGAAAAGCACAUCAAAGUAUUGGACUACAGUGCAAUCUGGCAGACCUGCCUCCGCUAGAGGGAUGGUGGUCUGAGAGCCAAGAGUCCGUGCACGGCUCCUCUCCAGACAGAGGAACACCUCCCAACGAUGAGGCAGUUGUUCCUUUAUCCGUGACGCACAGGAAACUGAGAAGUAUUAAUAAUUAGUGUCAGAACUUGCCUCAAGCCAAAGCUCUUCGGUGACAAAUGCACCACAGUCAGGGUCAGAUUGAUGUCCUCUGAAACAACCUGACAAACUACAUGUCGCAUCCGGAAUACUUUAUCACCUCAUUCAUUCGAAGAUCUGAACCAGUUGGAGAAGACAUGCUGUCUGACAGGGAUGUCCUACCAAUCUGCUGACUUCAUGUUCUACUGUAGACUGCAGAGCUGGUGUUCUCCAUGUCGAGGAGCCGUUCAGCUGGUGCCCUGAGUGAAUGCUGGUUUAAUCCUUUAUGGACAUAUUCAACCCUGUCGACUACAAGAAAAUGUUCACACUUUCAAGAAACCCAGAUUAUUUCUCUACAGCCAUAUAUUUUCCUGAAAGUAGACAUCUAGCACAUUGCUAGUGGAUGAAGCUUUCUAGUUCAGGCUCCUAACAACUGAUCUGUGGGGGUGUGGAAUGUCUGAUCCGAUUUUUGAUGACUUGUUCAAAAUAAAGGUUUGUGGUUUAGUGUGAAAUGGGUUUGGCCUAUCAGAAAGGGGGCAUGGCUUACAAUGCAACAACUUGUGCCCAAAUUUUGGUAAAAAAAUUCUGAUA